CACGUAGGGUGCGAGCGUUUGUCCGGAAUUAUUGGGCGUAAAGAGCUCGUAGGCGGUGUGUCGCGUCGGCCGUGAAAACCUGCAGCUUAACUGUGGGCUUGCGGUCGAUACGGGCAUCACUGGAGUUCGGCAGGGGAGACUGGAAUUCCUGGUGUAGCGGUGAAAUGCGCAGAUAUCAAGGGAGGGAACACCCGGCGGGCGAAGGCGGGUCUCUGGGCC
rnacentral:rRNA from 1 species